ensembl:lncRNA
ACAAGACCUAAGCGACAAAGUUUGAAUGAAGUUUCUAAGUUAAGCGGUUCAAGCUGAAUUAAGCGCAGAAGUUUGGUACAAAGAAUAAGAAGAAGAACUAGAAAAUGCAUUUCCUGAAGGAAAUACCAGUGCAUGAAAUGCAAAAGUUAAGAAAGGAAGAAGAAAAGAAAGAAGAGUGAAAGAAGGAAAUAAGAAAGGAAAGAAGAGUAAAGAAAGGAAAGAAGAAAGGAAAGAAGAGUCGAAGAAGGAAAGAAGAAGGGAAGAAGGAAAGAAGAAAAGAAAGAAGAGUGAAGAAAGGAAAGAAGAAGGAAAGAGUAAAAAAAAGAAAAGUAUAAGAAGGAAAGAAGAAAGGAAAGAAGAGUGAAGAAAGAAAAGAAGAGUGGAAGAAGGAAAGAAGAAAAAAAAAGAAAAGUGAAAGAAGGAAAGAAGAGUGGAAGAAGAGUGGAAGAAGGAAAGAAGAAGGAAAGAAGAAAAGAAAGAAGAGUGAAGAAAGAAAAGAAGAGUGGAAGAAGGAAAGAAGAAAAAAAAAGAAAAGUGAAAGAAGGAAAGAAGAGUGAAAGAAGGAAAAAAGAGUGGAAGAAGGAAAGAAGAAAAGAAAGAAGAGUGAAAGAAGGAAAGAAGAGUGGAAGAAGGAAAGAAGAAAAGAAAGAAGAGAGAAAGAAGGAAAGAAGAGUGGAAGAAGGAAAGAAGAAAGGAAAGAAGAGUGGAAGAAGGAAAGAAGAGUGAAGAAAGAAAAGAAGAGUAGAAGAAGGAAAGAAGAGUGGAAGAAGGAAAGAAGAGUGAAGAAAGAAAAGAAGAGUAGAAGAAGGAAAGAAGAGUGGAAGAAGGAAAGAAGAAAGGAAAGAAGAGUGAAGAAAGGAAAGAAGAAAAGAAAGACGAAGGAAAGAAGAGUGAAGAAAGAAAAGAAGAGUAGAAGAAGGAAAGAAGAGUGGAAGAAGGAAAGAAGAAAGGAAAGAAGAGUGGAAGAAGGAAAGAAUAAAGAAAAGAAGAGUGAAGAAAGGAAAGAAGAAAAGAAAGAAGAGUGAAAGAAGAAAGGAAAGAAGAGUGGAAGAAGGAAAGAAGAGUGAAGAAAGAAAAGAAGAGUGGAAGAAGGAAAGAAGAAAGAAAAGAAGAGUGGAAGAAGGAAAGAAUAAAGAAAAGAAGAGUGAAGAAAGGAAAGAAGAAAAGAAAGAAGAGUGAAAGAAGGAAAGAAGAAAGGAAAGAAGAGUGGAAGAAGAAAAGAAAGAAGGAAAGAAGAAAGGAAAGAAGAGUAAAAGAAGGAAAGAAGAGUGGAAGAAGGAUAGAAGAGUGGAAGAAGGAAAGAAGAGUGAAGAAAGAAAAGAAGAGUAGAAGAAGGAAAGAAGAGUGAAGAAAGGAAAGAAGAAGGAAAGAGGAAAAAAAAGAAAAGUAUAAGAAGGAAAGAAGAAAGGAAAGGAGAGUGGAAGAAGUAAAGAAGAAGGAAAGAAGAAAAGAAAGAAGAGUGAAGAAAGAAAAGAAGAGUGGAAGAAGGAAAGAAGAAAAAAAAAGAAAAGUGAAAGAAGGAAAGAAGGAAAGAAGAGUGAAAGAAGGAAAAAAGAGUGGAAGAAGGAAAGAAGAAAAGAAAGAAGAGUGAAAGAAGGAAAGAAGAGUGGAAGAAGGAAAGAAGAAAAGAAAGAAGAGAGAAAGAAGGAAAGAAGAGUGGAAGAAGGAAAGAAGAAAGGAAAGAAGAGUGGAAGAAGGAAAGAAGAGUGGAAGAAGAGUGAAGAAAGAAAAGAAGAGUAGAAGAAGGAAAGAAGAGUGGAAGAAGGAAAGAAGAGUGAAGAAAGAAAAGAAGAGUAGAAGAAGGAAAGAAGAGUGGAAGAAGGAAAGAAGAAAGGAAAGAAGAGUGAAGAAAGGAAAGAAGAAAAGAAAGAAGAAGGAAAGAAGAGUGAAGAAAGAAAAGAAGAGUAGAAGAAGGAAAGAAGAGUGGAAGAAGGAAAGAAGAGUGAAGAAAGAAAAGAAGAGUAGAAGAAGGAAAGAAGAGUGGAAGAAGGAAAGAAGAAAGGAAAGGAGAGUGGAAGAAGGAAAGAAGAGUGGAAGAACGAAAGAAGAAGAGUGGAAGAAGGAAAGAAUAAUAUUCCUAGUUAUACAGUUGAAUGGAGAGGGACAGAGAGAAGAGGAGCCUUGGAACCUUGG